rnacentral:tRNA from 1 species
CAAAAUGUAGCUUAAUUAAAGCCCUCCGCUUACACCGGACAAAUAUCUGUUUGACCCAGAUCAUUUUGA